rnacentral:rRNA from 1 species
ACGGGAGGCAGCAGUGGGGAAUAUUGCACAAUGGGCGCAAGCCUGAUGCAGCGAUGCCGCGUGAGGGAAGAAGGUUUUCGGAUUGUAAACCUCUGUCAACAGGGACGAAAAUGACGGUACCUGUGAAGGAAGCUCCGGCUAACUACGUGCCAGCAGCCGCGGUAAUACGUAGGGAGUAAGCGUUAUCCGGAAUUACUGGGUGUAAAGGGAGCGUAGGCGGGACUGUAAGUCAGAUGUGAAAUAUGCCGGCUCAACUGGCAGACUUCAUUUGAAACUGCGGUUCUUGAGUGAAGUAGAGGUAAGCGGAAUUCCUAGUGUAGCGGUGAAAUGCGUAGAUAUUAGGAGGAACAUCAGUGGCGAAGGCGGCUUACUGGGCUUUAACUGACGCUGAGGCUCGAAAGCGUGGGGAGCAAACAGGAUUAGAUACCCUGGUA